rnacentral:rRNA from 1 species
GAUGAACGCUGGCGGCGUGCCUAAUACAUGCAAGUCGAGCGAACAGACGAGGAGCUUGCUCCUCUGACGUUAGCGGCGGACGGGUGAGUAACACGUGGAUAACCUACCUAUAAGACUGGGAUAACUUCGGGAAACCGGAGCUAAUACCGGAUAAUAUAUUGAACCGCAUGGUUCAAUAGUGAAAGACGGUUUUGCUGUCACUUAUAGAUGGAUCCGCGCCGCAUUAGCUAGUUGGUAAGGUAACGGCUUACCAAGGCAACGAUGCGUAGCCGACCUGAGAGGGUGAUCGGCCACACUGGAACUGAGACACGGUCCAGACGCCUACGGGAGGCAGCAGUAGGGAAUCUUCCGCAAUGGGCGAAAGCCUGACGGAGCAACGCCGCGUGAGGGAUGAAGGUCUUCGGAUCGUAAAACUCUGUUAUUAGGGAAGAACAAAUGUGUAAGUAACUAUGCACGUCUUGACGGUACCUAAUCAGAAAGCCACGGCUAACUACGUG